GACGAACGCUGGCGGCGUGCCUAAUACAUGCAAGUAGAACGCUGAAGAGAGGAGCUUGCUCUUCUUGGAUGAGUUGCGAACGGGUGAGUAACGCGUAGGUAACCUGCCUUGUAGCGGGGGAUAACUAUUGGAAACGAUAGCUAAUACCGCAUAACAAUGGAUGACACAUGUCAUUUAUUUGAAAGGGGCAAUUGCUCCACUACAAGAUGGACCUGCGUUGUAUUAGCUAGUAGGUGAGGUAACGGCUCACCUAGGCGACGAUACAUAGCCGACCUGAGAGGGUGAUCGGCCACACUGGGACUGAGACACGGCCCAGACUCCUACGGGAGGCAGCAGUAGGGAAUCUUCGGCAAUGGGGGCAACCCUGACCGAGCAACGCCGCGUGAGUGAAGAAGGUUUUCGGAUCGUAAAGCUCUGUUGUAAGUCAAGAACGAGUGUGAGAGUGGAAAGUUCACACUGUGACGGUAGCUUACCAGAAAGGGACGGCUAACUACGUGCCAGCAGCCGCGGUAAUACGUAGGUCCCGAGCGUUGUCCGGAUUUAUUGGGCGUAAAGCGAGCGCAGGCGGUUUGAUAAGUCUGAAGUUAAAGGCUGUGGCUCAACCAUAGUUCGCUUUGGAAACUGUCAAACUUGAGUGCAGAAGGGGAGAGUGGAAUUCCAUGUGUAGCGGUGAAAUGCGUAGAUAUAUGGAGGAACACCGGUGGCGAAAGCGGCUCUCUGGUCUGUAACUGACGCUGAGGCUCGAAAGCGUGGGGAGCGAACAGGAUUAGAUACCCCGGUAGUCCACGCCGUAAACGAUGAGUGCUAGGUGUUGGAUCCUUUCCGGGAUUCAGUGCCGCAGCUAACGCAUUAAGCACUCCGCCUGGGGAGUACGACCGCAAGGUUGAAACUCAAAGGAAUUGACGGGGGCCCGCACAAGCGGUGGAGCAUGUGGUUUAAUUCGAAGCAACGCGAAGAACCUUACCAGGUCUUGACAUCCCGAUGCUAUUUCUAGAGAUAGAAAGUUACUUCGGUACAUCGGUGACAGGUGGUGCAUGGUUGUCGUCAGCUCGUGUCGUGAGAUGUUGGGUUAAGUCCCGCAACGAGCGCAACCCCUAUUGUUAGUUGCCAUCAUUCAGUUGGGCACUCUAGCGAGACUGCCGGUAAUAAACCGGAGGAAGGUGGGGAUGACGUCAAAUCAUCAUGCCCCUUAUGACCUGGGCUACACACGUGCUACAAUGGUUGGUACAACGAGUUGCGAGUCGGUGACGGCAAGCUAAUCUCUUAAAGCCAAUCUCAGUUCGGAUUGUAGGCUGCAACUCGCCUACAUGAAGUCGGAAUCGCUAGUAAUCGCGGAUCAGCACGCCGCGGUGAAUACGUUCCCGGGCCU
rnacentral:rRNA from 1 species